UUUCGAGUUGAAAAGUGUUGGUUUGAGAGUUACAGUAACACUAACGGUGCUGAAAAAGCUCUGUAGCCGGAGUUAUUUCAAAGAGUCAAUACUAUAACACUCAUUUGGAGUUGAUUUCCACAUCCGGGUUUUUCGCGCUCAUGGGCAUGAGGAGUCCGCCAGAAGUUUGCUGUCAAGAUCGAGGAGGUUGUUCAGGUGCUGUUGUAAGACAUGUUGCUGAAAGUGAAAUACCUCAAUGUAAAGAAGUACAUUAAAUUGCACGCAGGAUUCACUUAUCUAGAAUUCAUCAGUGAAGCCAAAACCAAGUUUGGACUUCCGGAUGCUGCUGACCUUGAUAUUUUCGAUGAAACUGACACAGCUGUCGAAGAAGACAUUUUUCUGGAGUUACUGGAGGCCCAACCAGACCUAUGCCUGACAAUACGUGAAAAGAUUUCAGAUGAAGAUUUUUGUCCUUUAGCUCAUUCCACACCAUCCUCCUCGGAUACAUUAUCUUCCCUCACGGACACUAUAUCACUUUCAUCAAGU